rnacentral:rRNA from 1 species
UCUUGAAAUUUAAAGAAUUUGGCGGUAUCUAAGUCUAGUUAGAGGAAUUUGUGCAGUAAACGAUAGUCCGCGAGUAUCUUGCCCUGCUUUGUAGAUAUUCAGUUUGUAUACCGCCAUUAUUAGAUAAUCCUUUUAGGGAGUUAUUAUAAUUAAGUAUGGUUAAAUAUAUUAGGUCAAGGUGCAGCUAAUAGCAGGGGUGUUAUGAAUUACAAUGGUAUAAGUGAUAUACGGAUUGAUUGAGGGAGGAGUAAUCUUUAAGGUGGAUUUAAUUGUAAGGGGCGUAAAUUAUGCGUGGUUUGAUAAGGGCUCUUGGAUAUGUACACAUCGCCCGUCGCUC